UACGUAGGGGGCAAGCGUUGUCCGGAUUUAUUGGGCGUAAAGAGCGUGUAGGCGGCCAAACAGGUCCACUGUGAAAACUCGAGGCUCAACCUCGAGAGGUCGGUGGAAACCGUCUGGCUAGAGUCCGGAAGAGGGUCGUGGAAUUCCCAGUGUAGAGGUGAAAUUCGUAGAUAUUGGGAAGAACACCGGUGGCGAAGGCGGCGACCUGGUCCUUUACUGACGCUGAGGCGCGAAAGCGUGGGAGCAAACAGG
rnacentral:rRNA from 1 species